UACGGGGGGGGCAAGCGUUGUUCGGAAUUACUGGGCGUAAAGGGCUCGUAGGCGGCCAACUAAGUCAGACGUGAAAUCCCUCGGCUUAACCGGGGAACUGCGUCUGAUACUGGAUGGCUUGAGUUUGGGAGAGGGAUGCGGAAUUCCAGGUGUAGCGGUGAAAUGCGUAGAUAUCUGGAGGAACACCGGUGGCGAAGGCGGCAUCCUGGACCAACACUGACACUGAGGAGCGAAAGCCAGGGGAACAAACGGG
rnacentral:rRNA from 1 species